ensembl:snRNA U6 U6 spliceosomal RNA
AUGCUCGCUUUGGCACCAAAUACACUAACAAUGGACUGAUACAGAGAAGACUAGCAUGGCCCCUGUGCAAGAAUGACACGCAAAUUUGUGAAGUGUUCCAUGUUGGG